rnacentral:lncRNA from 10 species
GCAUGCACAGGGAUGUUAACAGAGGCUUCAUGUGAAGAAGGCAUUCAGAUCAAAUGCUCAAAGUGGAGUAAGAUAUCAUUGUCUUUCACAGAAUCACUUAAUAGACUGCAGCAGAUCUCCCUUGACCAACCCCCCAAAACCAGUCAAAUUCUUCAUUUUCCCCAAAGUGAGGACUCCCACAUUAAGAAGCCCUCAGUACUGAGAUAACUAGCAGAUAAACUCAUCCAUUGCAAGGGUGGUCUUGAUGCAGGGCCAGCAAGCCUCAAAACUGGGGCUUCACCCGAGAGUGUUCUUGGCUUCACUCGGGAAAGAUUCCAAGGAUGAGACAGUGGUGUUAGACAGCAACUUUUAUUGAACCAAGCUACUCCUUGCAGAGCAGGGUUACCCCAUAGGCAGUGUGCCCAGAAU